AGCUUUUCGAAUCCGUGCUGCGAUUUCGUCAGAAAUGAACCCAUUAGGUCUGAUCAGACUUUCAAUAUAAGUGAAGUU
rnacentral:pre_miRNA from 1 species